AAACAGGCUCUUCUACAAGUGAUCUUAUUUUUCUAUAACUUUAGGUUAGUUUUUCCUCAUGAGACACAUAGUUGGCUAACAAGUAUGAUGUGUAGAUGCUGCAAGACAUAUGGAGGUGUGGAAUGAAAUGUUUCACACUUUUACUUCAGAAAGAUUCUACUUAUAAGCUAAAGGAAGUAACAAGACCAAUCCAGGUUCAAAGGAUGGAAAAAAGGUUUUACUUUUUAAUGGUAGACCCUGAAAAGUCACAUUGCUAUAAACACUGGAUAUAGUGUUGAAAGGAAAUUUAGCAUGACUUUUGUAAAGAAAAUAUCAUGCAACAUCCUAGAAUUUUGAUAUUGAAUAACUCCAAAGGAUACCUGUGAUAAAGGGUUAUUUCUCAGCUUGCUGUUAUUGAGAGAUGGUAGAAACUUCGAGGGGUGGGGCCUAAUGUGAAGUUGUAGGGCCACGGGAUCUGCCUUGAAUGGAUAGUGGGAUUGCUGUCCCUUAUUUCUUUUUUGUGUUUAUUUUCCAACCAUAAGAUGAGCAGAUUACUUUCUUCAUGUUCUCCCCAAUCCCGAUUUUCUGCCUUGCUAAAAAUCCGAAAGAAACCAGGCCUACCAACCAUGGAUUGAAAUCUCUAAAACUGAAAUUAACAAAAUUGGCUCAACUAUUAGAAAUUUCAAUUAACUAGACAUCUGUUGAAAACACACCGAAUAGAAUACAAUCUGUUUAAAAUAUUUUUUACAUAAGGUGGCUGACAGUGCAAUAAAGCAAACAACAAGAGGAAUAAGCAGGUUCAGUAUUGUAUGUUGGAGAUUCAAAAGAUCCAAUCCAAAGAUGAAAGCCUAGAGAUAGCAAUCUGAUGAGAGACCUUGUCAGAAAGCCAAAGGAUCUGCAUUGAGAGGCUCAAGAAUCUGCAUUAGUUGCCUGAAAGAACUGCAAAGGAAUAUCCAAAGGAAACGCCUAAGACUGGAGCUCCUCUGAAGUAGAAAAGGGGAAGACUUCUUUCUUGUGUUUUUUUUUUGUUCUAGGGAAGUUAUAAGCCAACUGUUUCGUGCCACCCAUAUCCACAUUGCAUCUUCCCUCCUUAGUUUGUGGCCUACAUGUCAGUUAUUAACAGAUACAGAGAAAACAGUACUCCAUUAAUCUGCUAGGUGUAUUUUUUAAUUCACUCAAAUUGACAUCACAAUUAAUUAUCACAGUGGUGCGAUAGUCCCCAGCUAUAAUUGUAUUGCUGUUUAAAUACCCUUUAUGUCAAGAAGUUUUUGUUUUAAGAAACCAAUAGAUGGUGCAUACAUACUUAAACUAAUAUAUUUUUCUGUUGAACUGCUCCUUUCACCAAUAUGUGACUUUUCUUGUUUCCUCUAAUCAUUUAAAAAAUAACGUCACAGGGUCUAUGGGCUAAAGACAAUACUGUUUUGGGAUUUCUUUGAAAACACAAUCUCUUACAUUUUAAAUAAGUAUAUAAGAUUUUAUUAUCUUUAUGACAAUCAUCUAAUAUUAACCAGACUAGACUGCUAAAAAUGAAAAUUAUACAUAGAGAACAUUUGCUUUUAAUGUAUAUACUGGUAAUCUAAAAAGAAUUUAAAAGUAUUUUAAGUCCACCAGGUAUGUAGGAAGCUGGAAGAGUGAAGACACAGGUGCAGGGAGACCCUGGAAAGCUGGAGAAGACAGGAAUAUGGAGUGUCUGAGGAAAGCCACAAGGAAUGAGCAGACCCAGCCCAAGAGCUGUCAUGAGACAUCUAACCAUGAACAAUGCUAUGCAAGCCCUUUGGAGUCACCACAUCUUGCCCUGCAUGCUCAGCGUGGAGCUAUAAGACUGAUCCUUUGCCUUAAUGGGCUUUAGUCUUCUUUUGCUCUUAUUAGUUUCUAUUCCUCUGUUCUUCCUUUUUGAGAUGGAAAUGUUUAUUCUGUGCCAUUGUAAGUUGGCAGUGUUUAACUUUCUUUUUGAUUUUUAUAGAAGCUCAUAGCUAAGAGUUUUGCUUGUCUCAGAGGAGACUUUGGACUUCAAUUUUUCAGUAAUACUGAAACUUUGGCCACUCUUAGAGAUGGACUACAUGUACUUCGCAUAAAGACGUGCGUGCGUGUGUGUGUGUGUGUGUGUGUGUGUGUGUCUUUUAGUGGCCAGGGGCAGAGCGUCAUGUUAUAUCUAGAUAGACCUCGGGAGACUCAUGCACUAUAGGUGGCUUUUGGGAGGUGACAGGAUUUUUGGAGCUUAUAGCUGGCUUGCUGUUAGGAGAUGGGGUCUGGUCUAAAAUGCUGGGUUUUGAGGGUAUGACAUGGAAAGGUUUAUUUCUUUCCCCAGCUCCUCCCUUCACUCUGUGUUUCCCAGCCACUGUAUCAUCAGCAUCUUUUCUUCUGCUAUGCCCCACUGCCAUGCCACCUCUCCCUGUAGCCAGGCAACUAUGGGCUAAAAACUAUACAAACUGUGGGCUAACAUAAACAUUUUCUCUAAGUUGCAGAUGUCGGAUAUUGUGUCCCAGUAAGAAGUAAGAUAUUCAUGUAAUACAUCUACUCGCUUACCAGCAAGAACUCUUGCAUGCCUUUCUACAUCCAACCAUAGAUUAGAAAACUCUUGUUGGGAGUAAUACAACCAGUUCCUGACCUCUUUCACCAACUCAAGAGCAGAAUCUCUUUUCCUCUAGACAUCUUCUGUUUCCUAUCUUUUGACGUACAUCCUAGCCAGUGUUUAAAUACACUAAAAUUUCCUCAAUUUUGAAAUAAGAAAUUAAACAAGGUUUAUUUAUUCCAUUUGUUUCAUGAGAAACAGGCUCAUUUCUUCCCUAUUCUUUACCUACCCACCCUCUCAAUCAUCAAACACUGUUUCUAAACACUGUCUCAAAAGCUGGAAUGCAAUUUACUGGUAGAGCUAUUGCCUUUCCUGUGUGUAACUAUGAGUUCUAUAACCAACAUUGAUGGAAGAAAAAAAAACUAAAGCAAAUAUUGUUUUCAAUUCUUUUUGAAAGCUAGAUGCACUCUGGUUUGAACUUAUUUUCCAAAUUACUACCAGUUUAGAAAAUGAAAUUGGUUUUUCUCUCUUUUUAAUUAGCACAUAUAUGUAGCACAUACUGACGACAUUCCUUGUGGGGAGCUGGUAUAUGUACAGAAUACAUCUUAGCUCCUUUAUUCAUUCAGUUUCCUUCCCCUCUCUUGAUCUCCUUCCUUUGUAUAUAUUUGCAGUCAUAACAUUUAAGGUUCUUAUGUGCAGUUGAUACAUGUACUUGGCACGUCUUAAUUCCUUUAUUUCCCAUCUCUUCCCUCUCUCUCUCUUUUUCCAACCCUUAAUCCCGUUCCCCUCUGAGAAAGAUCUGUCUCUACUUCUCAUUAUCAAUCAUUUAGUUUGCUCCUUAUUGAUACUUAGAGUUUCUCAUAUAAGAGAAACCAUGUGAUAUUUAACCUUGUGUGUUUAAUUUUUUCACUUAUCGUUAUAGUCUCAAGUUGCAUUAAUUUUUCUACAAAUGACUCAAGUUUAUCUUUCUUUAUAGCAGACUAGUACACCAGUGUUUAUAAAUACCACGUUUCUUUAUCCAUUUAUCUGUUAAUGGAAAUCUACCACUGCUUCCAUGAUUUAUCUACAAAAUGAAUUGUGCUGUUCUAAACAACAGUAUGCAUGUAGUAUGAUGUCUUUAACUCUCAAGAAGAUAAUGAGAAUAGCUGAGUUAAAUUGAAUUUUUAGAUUUAGAUUUUUGAGGAAUCUCCAGACUGAUUUCCAUUACAGCUUAUAUUCCUACCAACAGUGAUGUGUUCCUUUUUCCCAGCACCCUCACCAGAAUUUUUUAUUAUUUCAUUUCUUGAUGAAGGUCAUGCUUUCUAGGAAUCUCAGUGAUGCUUUAAUUUGCAUUUCUCUAUUGGCCAGUGAUGCUGAGCACUUCUUCAUGUAUUUAUUGGCCAUUUUUACUUCUUCUGUGAAGUGUUUAUUCAUUUUCCUUGCCCAGUUUUAUUUGGAUCUUUAAUUUUGGAGGAUCUUUUUUUUUAUAGUUCUUUUAGAUAUAUUUGAUGUAAGUCCUCCAUCUGAGGAAUCACUGGCAAAAUGUUUUUUAUAUUCUGUAGGUUUUCUUCUCACUCUGUUGGUUGUUUCUUUUCCUGUGCAGAAGGUUUUCAAUUUGAUAUGAUCCCAUUUAUUGAGUCCCAGAACUAUUUCCUGUGCAACUAGGGUUCUGUUUAGAAUGUCCUUGCCUAUGUUGUACUCUUACAGGGGCAGGCUCUGCUCCUGUGUGACGAGUUGGGUCUCUCCCCUUGGGAUGGGCAUCAUCAGUUUCAUCACGUGGCAGCUUUUCUGCUGUAUCUGACUUGACACAGCACCACUGAAAAGAAUGCACAAACCCUUCUUGUAUAGCAUGUUGUUUUGGUUUUCCAUUAGCCUCACAUGUCCAUCUCUUUAAUUGCUCCUUUCAUAUUCAUUUUCUUGGAAUUCCCAAAUACUCAGUUUGUAGCAUUUUCAUUUUUCUUUAUAUACUCUUCACUUAUGGUUUCAUCUAGACUAUAUGCUGGCAACAUACAUAUUUAUAUCAUCUCAAGUUAUAGACUAUUUCCUGUACUUCAAACUCAUGUCAUUAUUUGACAUUGUAAUUAAAACACACCUCAUAUUUGAAGGUUAUAUCCAAGACAUUACUUUCAUGCAUGAAUCCACCCCUAAACCUGUUUCAUCUACAUUCUACUCUCAGCUUAGCUAACAGCAACUAAGUCCUUCCAAAAAUCUUGGGGAUAUCCAUUUGCUAUUAUUAAAAUUUAUCAAUAAAUGUCCUUUUCAGAUUAUUUGCUUUUAUUGUCCCCUCUGCUGGAAUAAUCUCCCCCAAUAUCCCACUUACUCCCCAUAUUCAUCAAGUCAUUGUCAAAUAUAAAAGAGGCUUCCUUUCUCAUUUAGUGUAGAAAUAAAAAUCAUUCCUCUUCUUGACCUUCCAUUGUAUUAUUUUUCUUAAUAUAAGUAAUUAUUAAAAGUUUCUUUCAAAUAUACAAGAAGUAAAAUAAAUGUACUGACACCUCCAAUUUAAUAUUUUUAUACAUUUUAUGAUUUCUUUUAACUUAUUAGUUCCUCAAAUAAUAUUAAUUAAACUUUUAAAAUAUUUAAAAGGUGC
ensembl:lncRNA